GCCUACGGGAGGCAGCAGUGGGGAAUAUUGGACAAUGGGGGCAACCCUGAUCCAGCAAUGCCGCGUGUGUGAAGAAGGCCUUCGGGUUGUAAAGCACUUUUAGUGGGGAAGAAAAAAGUCUGGCUAAUAUCCAGGCUCUUGACGGUACCUACAGAAAAAGCACCGGCUAACUCUGUGCCAGCAGCCGCGGUAAU
rnacentral:rRNA from 1 species